rnacentral:rRNA from 1 species
UACGUAGGGUGCAAGCGUUAAUCGGAAUUACUGGGCGUAAAGCGUGCGCAGGCGGUGAUGUAAGACAGAUGUGAAAUCCCCGGGCUCAACCUGGGAACUGCAUUUGUGACUGCAUCGCUGGAGUACGGAAGAGGGGGAUGGAAUUCCGCGUGUAGCAGUGAAAUGCGUAGAUAUGCGGAGGAACACCGAUGGCGAAGGCAAUCCCCUGGGCCUGUACUGACGCUCAUGCACGAAAGCGUGGGGAGCAAACAGG